AUAUAUGUUUUUAAUAGAGAAAAAAUUGUUUUACUAAAAAAAUUAAAACUAUUAAAAAGACCUUUAAAAAAAAUUAUAAAAUUUUUUUAUAUUCAUAAAGGUAUAUUAGAUAAAUAUUUAAAAGAUAAAUUAAAAAGAAAAAUUAUUUUUUUCAAAAAAACUAAAUUAAGAUUUGAUAUUAAUAAUUUAAAAUUUAAAGAUAUUUUAUUAUAUA
rnacentral:tRNA from 1 species